rnacentral:tRNA from 1 species
GCCCGGAUGGCGGAAUAGGUAGACGCACAAGACUUAAAAUCUUGCGAUCGCGAGGUCGUGCCAGUUCGAUUCUGGUUCCAGGCACCA